UCUACGGGAGGCAGCAGUGGGGAAUCUUGGUCAAUGGACGCAAGUCUGAACCAGCGACGCCGCGUGAGUGAUGAAGGCCUUCGGGUUGUAAAGCUCUGUGGGGAGAGACGAAAACAGUUCGGUCGAACAGGCCGAGCUCUUGACGGUACCUCCUUAGCAAGCACCGGCUAACUCUGUGCCAGCAGCCGCGGUAAGACAGAGGGUGCGAACGUUGCUCGGAAUUACUGGGCGUAAAGCGCGUGUAGGCGGGCCGACAAGUCAGGUGUGAAAUCCCCGAGCUCAACUCGGGAACUGCACUUGAAACUGUCGGUCUCGAGUGCCGGAGAGGGUGGCGGAAUUCCUGGUGUAGAGGUGAAAUUCGUAGAUAUCAGGAGGAACACCGGUGGCGAAGGCGGCCACCUGGACGGCUACUGACGCUGAGACGCGAAAGCGUGGGGAGCAAACAGGAUUAGAUACCCUGGUAGUCCACGCCGUAAACGAUGAGCGCUAGGUGUCGCGGGUAUUGACCCCCGCGGUGCCGAGGCUAACGCAUUAAGCGCUCCGCCUGGGAAGUACGGUCGCAAGACUAAAACUCAAAGGAAUUGACGGA
rnacentral:rRNA from 1 species